rnacentral:lncRNA from 1 species
CCAGGAUGGUAUUUUGUUAAAACAGCUGAAUGGACUAAGACAAGAAAUUCACAGCAAGGAGAAAAUUACCUGAGUCUUACCAAUCUGUUUCUCACCCUUUCUACCCUGAAUGAGACCAUUCAGGCUUUCUUAUUAUCUUCAGGUUUACUGGAUGUUCUCCUAAAAACGUAUUUCAGUUGGUCAUUCAGUUGUUAAAUUAGGUUUAGCCUAAAGCUGCCUCCUUACAUAUUUUAAAUUCAGCCAAAAGGUUUCUCCAUAGUAAACUGUAACCUAACUAUAUGUGUAAACAGAGCAUAACCUACUCUUCUGCUAAUCACCAAGUAUUGGCCAAUCAAAGGUGACCAACUAUUCAAAUCGUGUUCAAAUAAGGCAAAUGCCAAACUGUAACCAAUCCAGAAAUAAGGCAAACACCAAACUGUAACCAAUCCAGCUGUUUCCGCACCUCAUUUCCAUUUACUAAUGUCACUUUCCUUUUUCUGUCCAUAAAUCUUCCAACAUGUGGCUGUACUGGAGUCUCUCUGAAUGUACUCUGGCCUGGGGAUUGGGGGUGUAGGGGCUGUGGAAGUGGAGGUGAUCCCAGAUUCAAGACUCAUUCUUUGCUCAAUUAAACUCUUUUAUUUUAUUUUAUUUUAUUUUUGAGGUGGAGUUUCACUCUUGUUGCCCAGGCUGGAGUGCAAUGGCGUGAUCUUGGCUCACUGAAACCUCUGCCUCCCGGGUUCAAGCGAUUCUCCUGCCUCAGCCUCCUGAGUGGCUGGGAUUACAGGCAUACGCCACUACGACUGGCUAAUUUUGUAUUUUUAGUAAAGAUGGGAUUUCUCCAUGUUGGUGAGGCUGGUCUUGAACUCCCAACCUCAGAUGGCAUCUGAAGUGAGAUCCAAAGUGGAGCUUACAGAGACCUCCAGGAGCACUGAAUGGCCAAGACAGGCUACCUGCUAGGCCCAUGGUGUCCACUGCUUUUGUGCAGCAACUGGGGCACGGAAAGGGGUGGGAAAUCCCUGGAGCUGCAGGUUCCUCCCUGUUUUAGACUAUAUAAGUUUUUAGCCUCUGAAUUAAGAGUUCUGCAUAGGUAGCCAUGGUGAAGUCUGGAAACACGUUCUCAGUGCCUCAACCAGCAGCUACAAGUCAGAGUCAAGCCCAUUAUGACCCCUUCUUCCUGCCUGAGCUUUGGCCCCAGAUAUUCUGAGAGGGGUUGGAUCCUCCAGGGCAUCGACCUCACAGCUCUGUCUUCUGUCCUGAGCUCUUCUCCUGGCAUGUAAAUUCAGGACUCAGAUAAGCCCUGCCCUUCAUAGCCACCUUGGAUGCUGCGUGACUACCUGUGAGUCAGGAGGACUGGAAAAGACAUUAGGGAGGGUACCUGUGUCCUACUUUCAAAAUGUUUUUCAGUAAUUUUAAAUCUUAAAGUGAUGUUAUGUUAAAGCAUAAUCAUAAAAUGGGAGUCAUUUGUAAGUUAAAAAAUAUUAAAACAUUAAUUACCAAACCUAAGUUUAAGUUUAUAUAGUUUGGCAUCUUAUUUUUGUAUGGUAUAGAGAAGCUAAAUAUAUUUACGUCUGUUAAUAAAAUAUAGGAAGAAACAUCUUUCUAAAAUUUAUAGAAUAAUUUAAUAAUUUUUAUCUGCAAAUACUGAUAUAAAACAGUUCAAAAUUACUUCCUAGGGAUUUCACUAAAAACUAGGGUUAAAGAGUUCAUGUAGUUAAUAUAUGUAAUUAAAACAACUAGAUGUAAGAAAAACAAUUCUGUAUAGUAUAUAAAAGCAAGAUAUGCUUUUGAUGAUGGAAGUUAUAAAGGCAUAAAAUGUAUGUUUGUUAAAAAAAAAUUUGUCUAGGCGAAGUUACUAGAGUUGCCUAGUUUGAAGUUUGUCCAGUUUGAAGUUAGUUAAAGGUUACUUAAGUUACUUAAAGGUUGUUUCAAAUUGAAGGAAUAAAAGGAAUGUAGAUAAAAUUAAAAUAUAAAAAGUUGAAAAAAUUUUUAAUUGUACGAGAUUAUAAAAGGGUUAUGGGAAUCUGGUGUGGUCAAAAGCUGACUGACAUUGAAUGAGUUUGUUUAUAAGGUUUUAUUAAAAUUAGCUUUAUUGAUAAUACACUAAUGCAAAAGUAAAAUUUGGUUUUCUCUUUUGAACAAAAAUUUCUUAUAGUGUUAAUAGUGAUAGCAAGAUAUUUUUGUUUACCUUUUGAGUAAACUGCAAAAAAUAAAAAAAGAGAGAGAGAGACAGAUUCUGCCUCACGCUGUCUUUCUCAGGUCUUUAGAUUGUUUGGAAAACUGCGUCUCCUCUAUCAGAGAGUAAUGUUUUUGCUUUUUAAAAUCUUUUCGUUAUCACUUUACCUAAAUAAAUGACUACUAUUUUAUGAUGACCUGUGACCCUAUUUUGAUCAAGUGUUUUAAACCUUUUAUAUUUGUUUGACAGGCUUCCCAAAAUCAAAUUUCCACUUCAAAAUUAAGUCUCUUUUGACCUUGAAUUUUAGAAUACUACAGAGAGCCCCUGAAGCCUCCAUAAGAGAGUUAACGGGAUUGAUAUGUUAAAUCAUAUGGAAAGCAUUGCCAAAUAAUAAAUGAUGUUUAACCUUCU